AGUGGAGUCUAAAGUCCAAAUCGCAUCGAGGCCCUAAUUAAAAAAUUGUAUCAAAAAUGGAGAACAACCUCUUUGAAAAAGCUAAGUCCACAAAAAAUGGGUAAUGGUGAAUUCCCAAACGCUCGCAAAAUACCAUGCAAAUUGAAUGAGAAACUUUUAUAUCACCUUCGCUCUGAAUAGUGCAAUUAUCCCCGGAGAACCUUUCUCGCCUUUCGUAAUUUAUUUAUUAAACACUUGCCCAGAAGACGGCAAACAAUUUGUGUAGUCCGUCGGGCGGAGUCACGUAGUAAAUGCAUAAAAAAUCGGCAACCGAAAGAAGUUAAGUGGGGCGCCCCAUGCAUUUAUGCAAACUGUGAGACAUUGUUGCGGGACCUUCUGCCAACAUUAAGCUGUGGUGCGUGUCACACUAAUUUGACCCAAAAGGUCUCAGCCAGCACGAACCUCAUAUAAAACAUUCAAGCGAGAUGGAAUUGCAGGGACCAAAUAUGUAGUUCUCCAAGUCCCGGCUGCCACUUUAAAUAAUUUAUAGAGCGCCGAAACGGGAGAAAUGUGUUGAGUCUGAAUGGGCCACAGUCUCAGGCAGAUUGAGGACUAAUUGCACAAACAGCCAAAUUAAGUCAAUGCCGCAGGGCAAAAACGCACAUCCCUCGAACCGCAAGCUGGCGUCGAAUAUAUCAGUCACUAAUUAAAAUAAAAUUUGAUUUCGUCGCCGAAAUCAUGCUCCUCCUGCGGUCUUCCGCCUUCAAGUGCGCAUGCACCGCAAUCUGGAUAAUUAUUUAUUUUGCUUCCAGCUCUCGAGCUCUGCUGCAAUCCAUAUCCACAUCAGGAAACCACAAUUUCGGUUGGCAUCGAUGCAUUGGGGCAUGAAUUUCCAUCUGUAUGCGUUUCUAAGACAUUGUAAUAACUCUGACAUUUUCGUUUUUCACUGCGGCCUAAGUAAUCUAACCUUAUUUAACGCCAAUUAUAAAACUUUACAUUUUGAUCAUUAUUUUUAAUUCAA